rnacentral:RNase_P_RNA from 1 species
AAAAGUAAGAUUUAAAAAGAUUCCCGAAGGAGAAGAUCUUUUAAAGAUUUAUCCCGGAAGUGUCACUCCUUGUAGUGAGGAGGUGAAGAGAUUCACGGCAACGCAACAGAAACGACACGACCUUUGGAUUAUGGAAUGAUAUGGCGAAGUGUGAUCGUGAGACACAUGAGUUAACCUGUUGACGUCUCCAAAGGAAACGAUGAAACGGGCGACCUGACUGGUGCAAGUCAAAGACGCUAAGUAGAAUGUCAGGAUAGAGUAUCGAUAAGAUCAUUAAUGAUUUUAUUUUGACUCUAACAGAAGGCAGCUUAUUUCCUACCUUU